AACAAAAUGGGUCACCCUUUUAGCCCUCCGCCGCACUCGCACGGGAUGUCCCAAGAGCUCAUAGUGAGAGUAGUCUACAUCAUGGCCACGCUUAUUCUUGAUGACCAUGUUGUGCAUGAUCACACAAGCGUGCAUUAUGUACCAAAACAUCUUUUGAUCCCAAAAUCUAGCCAGUCCUCUCACAAUAGCAAAUUGAGCUUGCAAAAUCUCAAAAUCUCUCUCCAAAUCUUUUCUAGCCGCCGCCUGAGCAUUGUGGAAAUCAAGAUUUCUCUUACCUUUCGGUUUUUUUAACGGCUUCACAAAUGUUUGCCACUUUGGAUAGAUGUCAUCCGCAAGAUAGUAGCCGUAGUUGUACGGUCAUUAGCUACAAACUGCACCGGUGACAGUUCAUCAUUUGCAAUCUUACUCAUCAUUGGUGACUGGUUGACAACGUUGAUGUAAUUCAAAGAUCCAAGCAUUCCAAAAAAAGCAUGCCAAUCCAAGUCUCUUGAUCGGUCACCGCUUCAAGGAUUAUAGUGGAACCCUUUUUUUGUCCGUGGAAUUGGCCAUGCCAUGCCUUUCAACAAUUCUUCCAACUCCAAUGCAUGCAAUCUAUUGAGCUAAGCAUACCUGGGAACCCGCGAGCUUUCUUCAUCUCCAAUAUCCUUGCGGCGUCUUCAGCGUUGGGAGAUCUCAAGUACUCCGGGCCAAACACUUGCACAAUUCCGACUGCGAAGCGCUUGACACACAUGAUGGCUUGGAUCUCACCCAUGGCCAAGUGAUCAUCAACUAGAUCAGCGGGGAUACGGUAUGUCAACAUACGCAAAGCAGUUGUCACCUUCUGAAAGGUGCUUUACCCGAGCUCUCCGGCUGCAUUCCUCCUCUGCUGAAAAAACUUGUCAUGGCUCACUAGUUUCUCUGCAAUGCGCCUGAAAAGCUCGGUGCUCAUCCUAAACCGGCAACGAAAGUAUGACUCGGGGUAUGUGGGAUUCUGCACAAAAUAGUGCAUCAUCAAUCUGUUGUGGGCAUCGAUCCUAUCCCUCCAAAUUUUCUGCCGACCCAUAACCGAACCAUCGUGUUUUUCGGUUUUUUAUUGAUGUGCAUAGCUAAGGUCAUUGCAAGAUCCUCCUCCUCUUUCAUAUCAAAUUCUUCUUCGGAAGAAUCAUAUGACGAACUCAUCUACAAUGUUCAAAACUAGGCUAUAAAAAACUACAAACAACAUGCACAAAAUUUCAUGUAAAAAUAUGAAGUUGGAAGCAAUACAUACCUUGCGGGCAUUUUGUCGAACACCUUACGGGCGCCAAGCGGCAGUGGGCGGCCGGGCGCUGCUUGUCGGAGGACUGCCGCGCACGACGGGCGGCGCUGACUAGAGGGAGACGGAGGAAGCCACAGCCACGCGGGGAAAGACCGGGGAAGCUCCGGAAUGGUCGCCGAAAAAAAUAGGGUGGCGCGGCCAGCGGCUGGAUGGGUAGGUGGAGUUGCGAGCGAGGGCUCGAGAGUCCAACAUGCGGAAGCGGGCGCAGCAAAUAAGCGGCACGCAAUGGCGCUUCCGCCCGCGCGCUGAAUUAGAUAUGCCGCGCACGCGAUUUUUGUGCAUCCGCUGGAGCGUCCAGAGCGGUAACGCACACGCUAAAAGCACUAAUUUUCAGCAUGACGUUUAUAUAGUGCGGCUAUUAGAGAUGCUCUGAGUGCAUGGCCGGACUGGAGGAGGUGUUGACGCGAGGCAGAAAGUGGGUCCGGUGUAUCGGGAGUGCUGUGCUGACAAACAUGCAGUGCGAUCCGAACCACAUGCCGUCGUCGUCGGCAGCGGCCAGAGGCGGUGUGGGUGCCGGUUGUGUGGUGUGCGCCACGCCAGCGCCGCUGAGGAGAAAGGUCGGCCGGGUUAGCAUAGCAUGCAAUUGGUUUGGACGGCAAGACAGAGAAGAAAGGGUGCAAACGAAUGAGCAGAUUUGCACCUGUGCGAGCAGUGGCCGUUGCCAACAACGAGAGCAGCGGACAUAACGGGUCCGUGGUCGCAGGCGAGGAGGCACCGGAACCGGAAGCAGCGGCCGGAUCACUACUUUGCGUUUGCGUCGAGGUUUGAAGCCCUGAAGUUAGUAUAAAGUUGAGUCAUCUAUUUUGAAAUGGAAGGAGUGGGUGAGUGGGGUGGCAGCCAUGCAGUCAGUUAUUAUAGUCCGGCAGCAACGGAUCCGUUCGCCCCUGUAUGUGUAUCUGUAUCUGUAUAUGAGCGAGCGUUGCAGCGACGUGGUAGAGGCGGAGUGUUAACUAGGCAUACUAUACGCCAGCCUAGUUAGGUUUUUCUCAUGGCAGUUUUUUUCCUCCGCAACUCCCGGAGCACCUAACCUAGGCGAUUAGGGUUUACGGGUGGAACUCGGUGGCGCACGCUGAAUCUCGGCGAGGCGAUCAGACUGAAACUUGCUGAUGGCUUUGUCGUCAACGCAGGACCGAGGAAAGGAUCCCUUGUCGCCGCGGACGGCGAGGGAAAAGUUAGCGGAGGCCUUGGGGAAACUCGACAUCACCGAGGAGGAGGCCACGCCGCUGGUGCUAGACGAUGCGGAUGAGGGAGCGUCGGAGAAGUGGAUGUUGGCCGGGAAAGUGCUUCACAGGAAUAUUCUCCACAUCCAGACCAUCACCAAUGCACUUCGUCCAGCCUGGGGAAACCCUAGAUGUCUGGACUUCAAAUCUGUAGUGGAAAACACGUUUGUGGCCGAGUUCGUGAACCGGAGGGAUCGUGAUCGUGUCUGGCAAGGGGCGCCAUGGCAUAUUAGCAAGCACGCCGUCAUCCUCUCAGAUUUCGAUGAGUGCAUGCGCCCCUCUGAACUGCGGUUUGACAAACUUCAGAUGUGGGCUAGGGUUGUCAAUCUACCCUUCAACCUACGCAAUGAAAAGUGGUGUGCAGCGAUCACUAAACAGAUUGAUGAGCACGCAUCAGAUGUGAUCUUUGAUCACACCAAUGGCUAUCUGAGAGCCAAAGUGACAGUGGAUGUGAACAAGCCAUUAAGGCGUUGGAUCCUGAUCGAAUCAGCGAGAAGGAAGAGUAUGGAUCCCUAUGACAUUCAUUAUGAGAACAUCCCGCACUUCUGCUUUUCAUGUGGUCAUUUAGGCCACUCGGACUUGUACUGUCCAACCCCGGGGGCUAGAGAUGCCAAUGGUGAACUGCCCUUUGGGAAGGGACUGCGAGCUUCGGAUGAACGCAAAAAAGGUAGCUCCAGUGAGAACACGCCCAGAGAGCAUCAUGCGAAUCAGAACAACAAGGCUGAGACAAGAGGUUCGACCACUGAAGCUGAGAAAGGAGCCGAGGUAAACUCCCCACUUAAAACCAGAAACCAGAACAAGCGGAAGGGGGGCCGCCGGCUAACAAGCAGGUGUGCAGGAGGGUCGUUGUACCUUUGCUGACUAAUGAGGCAUUUGAAGCUGCACCUGGUGACCAAUUCCCAAAACCUACAGAGGAGGAUCCCAGCGCCUCUUCCGUCGACGAGGAUGGGGAGAGAGUUCCCAAGAAGAAAAAACCAAUCCCGGACAACUCUGGGCAUUCGGCAGGGCUGCACCUUCGCAAUGAAUUGCCUCAGCUGGAACUGCCGCGGGCUUGGGAACCCAGCGGCAGUUCGAGAGCUUCGCAGUAUCGUGAAGCAGAAAGGGCCCGGUCUCCUCUUUCUGAUGGAGACGAAAAUUUCGGCAAAACGAGUUGAAAACUUGAAGACCACACUUGGUUCUGCAGGUUGUUUUGCUGUAAACAGUGAGGGAUUGAGUGGAGGAGUUGCGCUAUUCUGGUCAACCGACGUCAAGGUUGAGCUCAAGAAUUUUAGUUCUGGCCAUAUUGAUGUUAUGGUGCAGACAAAUGACCCGGAUUCGAGUCCGUGGCGCUUCACGGGAUUCUACGGAGCCCCUAGAGCAGCAAAUCGACACCAUAGCUGGAGAUUUCUGCGUACGCUCAAAGCACUGCCUCACGCGCCUUGGCUGUGUGUGGGCGACUUUAAUGAACCACUUUUUGCCUCGGAACACUUCUCGCAAGUUGUUCGUCCGGAGUGGCAGAUGCGAGCUUUCCGAGAGGCUACUGAUGAUUGAUUGUUCCAGGAUCUCAGAUGGACUGGGGCAGAGUAUACAUGGGAUAAUGGUCAACCGGGUGUUGAUAAUGUGAAAGUGAGGCUGGAUCGAGCCUUUGGUAACUCGGACCUACUUCACCUGUACGGCUGCUGAAAGAUCGAGGAUGUCGCCUAGAGGGGGGUGAAUAGGCGCUUUAAAAUAAUUACGGUUUAGGCUUGAACAAAUGCGGAAUAAACCUAGCGGUUAAUUUGUCAAGCACAAAACCUACAACAACUAGGCUCACAUAUGUGCACCAACAACUUGUGCUAAGCAAGAUAAGCAACUAUGUGAUAGCAAGAUAUAUGACAAAGAACAAUAUGGCUUUCACAAAGUAAAGUGCAUAAGUAAAGGGGCUCGGGUAAGAGAUAACCGAGGCACGCGGAGACGAUGAUGUAUCCCGAAGUUCACACCCUUGCGGAUGCUAAUCUCCGUUUGGAGUUUUGUGGAGGCACAAUGCUCCCCAAGAAGCCACUAGGGCCACCGUAAUCUCCUCACCCUCGCACAAUGCAAGAUGCCGUGAUUCCACUAAGGGACCCUUGAGGGCGGUCACCGAACCCGUACAAAUGACGACCCUUGGGGGCGGUCACCGAACCCGUACACUUUGGCAACCCAUGGGGGCGGUCACCGGUACCCGUCAAAAUUGCUCGGGGCGAUCUCCACAACCUAAUUGGAGACCCCGACGCUUGCCCGGAGCUUUACACCACAAUGAUUGAGCUUCAAACACCACCAACCGUCUAGGGCACCCAAGCACCCAAGAGGAACAAGCUCAAAGGCACCAAGCACCCAAGAGUAAUAAGCUUCUCAACUUGUAACUUCCACGUAUCACCGUGGAGAACUCAAACCGAUGCACCAAAUGCAAUGGCAAGGGCACACGGAGUGCCCAAGUCCUUCUCUCUCAAAUCCCACCGAAGCAACUAAUGCUAGGGAGGAAAAUGAGAGGAAGAACAAGAAGGAGAACACCAAGAACUCCAAGAACUAGAUCCAAGGGGUUCUUCUCACAUAGAGGAGAAAGUGAUUGGUGGAAAUGUGGAUCUAGAUCUCCUCUCUCUUUUCCCUCAAAAACUAGCAAGAAUCCAUGGAGGAAUUGAGAGUUAGCAAGCUCGAAGAAGGUCAACAAUGGGGGAAGAACACGAGCUCUAAGGAUUAGGUUCAUUGGGGAAGAAGACCCCCUUUUAUAGGACCUUCCGAAUCCAACCGUUAUGUGCUCAGGUCGUGCACAAGCGGUACUACCGCUUGGAGGAGCGGUACUACUGCUUAGCACGGUCAAAACAGACCAAACGAGAGAGAAAACACGAGAUUUUGGUCCGGGGCGGUACUACCGCUUAGGAGCCACGGUAGUACUGCUCUGGAGCGGUACUACCGCUCAGGAGCAGCGGUAGUACCGCUCUGGAGCGGUAGUAAAAAAUUACAUCCGCUCUAGUCGCGGUAGUACCGCUGCAGCCUUUACCAAAACAGCCACAACUUUUGCAAACGGACUCCGAAUUCAACGAAACCAAGUUUGUUGGAAAGCUAACGACAUGAGCUAACACAAUAUUGAUAGAAAUAUCAAGAAUAAGAAAAUGAGAAAAGUCCCAUAAGAAAAUGGUGAGAACCCUUCAUCGGAUAAGAUCGGUAAAACCUCCAACACCGAAAACAUCAUAGAAGACGCAUGCGAACUCCGUUUUUGAUGAACUCAAGCUUGUCAUCAAGAUGACCAUAAGCUAUAAGACUCACAAAGAUAACCAAAUAAGAACCAAGAAACAUGAUGCAAGGAUGCAAUGGUUUGAGCUCUCUACUACCGAUACGAUCAAGCUACCAACUUGAGAGCCCCCUUGAUAGUACGGCAAACUAUCCUAUAACUCGGUCUCCCAACUACCACCACAAGACCGGUAAAAUAGAAAACCUAUCAAGGGAAAACCUUUGCCUUGCACAUGGUCCACUCGAGCUAGAUGAAGACGAUCUUGACUCCCUCAAGUUGGACCACCUUUCUUGAUUGCGUUGGCUCGAUGAAGACUAGAUGAUUGCUCCCCCAUAGUUCACUAUGGGUGAGCCACUCUUCGGCACAUCUUCACAAGUCCAUUGACACCAAAUGGAUGGCAAGAUUCAAGCACUUGAUCUAUUCGUGAUGCUCCACUUGAACUUGCACACGGCAAUCUUGAUGACGAUCACCACUUGAUGUCAUCCUUUCCAUGGGUUGUAUGAUAUCUUCCUCUUGACGCAAGCCCAUGGAUACGUACCUAACCCCACAUACAACUCUCACAUAGACCAUGGGUUAGUACAAGAAGUGUAAUGGACAAUGCUUACCAUACCAUGGGAUCACUUGAUCCCUCUCGGUACAUCUUCUACGCUUUGUGAGUUGAUCAACUUGAUUCACUCUUGACUUAGUCUUGAUCAACCUUGAAUCUUUGCAACUCUCUUCAUUUGGAUGAUGUCUUGAAGGUAAACAUGAAUGAUCACACAACCUUCUUCUUCAAGACAUGCUUGCAAUAAGCUCAACACUCGCAUGACCAAUCUUUGGAUAAUUCCUUAAUAGCACCUUGGUCAACUCAAAAACUCCUUGAAACCAACACAUGGACUUCAAGAAAAACCUAUGGUCAAAUCCUUCAAAUACAACUCAAGACAACCAUUAGUCCAUAGAGAUUGUCAUCAAUUACCAAAACCAAACAUGGGGGCACCGCAUGUUCUUUCAAUCUCCCCCAUUUUGGUAAUUGAUGACAAUCACUUUCAAGAGAGUUUAUAUAAGGAAUUAUGAAUCACCAUGCAAUGCAACAACUAAUAGUGCAUGCGAAUGAGUUGCAAAUGCUAAGGAACAAAAACAAAGCAAGAAGAGAUAACUCUCUAGACUUCUCCACAAAACUCUCUGAAACUUCUCCCCCAUCGGCAUCGAUUGCCAAAAUGGGCGAAAAUCUAAGAAGGCCAAUAUAAGAGUGUUCCUCCAUAAAUUGUGUAUCUCUCAAAAAUAGAGUGGAAUGCAAUACACAUAUCCAAUGGUAAAUACUUGGAGGAACACAAACUAUAUUGAGGCCCAAGAUUGCAAAAGAAUGAUAUGCCACAAAGACAUAACAAAGAGAGAAACAAGCAAUCGAGCAAUCAAAAGAUACCAAUUGAAGCAAGCAAUCAAAUGAUAUCAAUUGAACCAACUAGACCAAACAUCCUAUGAGCCACAAGAAUGAAGGAUAUUAUGAUAUGAGCAAAGGAGUAUUCUAAAUAAGCUAGAGAAGCUCCCCAUGAUUUGUGCACACAUAAGAAUAUUUGUAUUUGGAUACAAAGUGCACAAAAUAGGAUCAUAGCUCCCCCAAAAUCAAUAGAAACUCACAUCCAGUGCAAGUGAGCAUAUAGGAAACAAAGCCUAGCGCUUGCAACAAGCACAUGGUUGAGCAACAUGUAAAAGAGGCAACUUAAGAAUAGGCUCAACCAAAAUGAUGUGUGUGAGUCAUGGCGAAGCACUUGAGAAGACUAAGAUUAGGAUGAGCAUUAAGCAUCAACAUAGUCUUGAAAGAAUGAGGCACACGGUGCAAGGCCUAUCAUUCCCACAGACAACUGGCAAAUGGGUUUACAAGCUUACUAAUAAGCAAAAGAGAACCUAUGCUUGUGACAACCCGUGGUGAAGAUAGACGAGGGGAGACUCAUCAAGACGAGGGAUACCAAUUAAGAUGGCAAAAACCUCGUAAAGAUAAGCAAGAGGAAGAUAAUCUUCACCACACAAGAGUGCAACAAGAUGCAACGAUAGAGGACACGCACUCAAGGCAAAAGCUUGCACGGAGCCACCAAAGAAAUAACAUAAGAAAGACAAGGUGGACGUGAAAGAAAAGAUAUCAACUAGAGAUGUAAUUUCUCUCAAGUGUAUAAGGUUCUAUGUAGACGAAAUCAUGAUGAUAUAUAUAUAUAUAUAUAUAUAUCUACAAAGAAUGAUGUACACCCGAAAUAGUUACAACACGAAGGAACAAGAUAUCCACAAGGAAGUCAUAAAUAUACCAAUAAGAUAUUUGCUUGAAAGCAUAGCACUUGGCUAGAUAUGGUCUUAUUGUAUAUAAAUGAAGUCGAAACACACAUCCAUCAAAGGCAUCACAACUAGCAACUAGAGAUCAUCAUUUGGAUGCUUUGAGAAAGGAAACAAGUAUCACAAGAUAUGAAAUGAAAAUCAUGCCAAGAUGCAAUCUACACAAGGUUGAAUGCAAGAGGAGAAAGCAUGAAUAGAUACUUGUUACUGAGAUAUCAUUGGAAGGAUGUAGUAGAUACCAAUUUAAGGUAGAUAGUAGUUCAUUGAUCACCCGAGCUUGACUCCAAUAUGCACAUGGUGACAACACCUUCCUUGUGAGUGAGCUGAGCAUCCAAUGCAUCUCCAAAUGUUCCUAGAAGAACAACACAAACUAAACGGUACCCAAACUCAUCGGGACCAAAUAGUUAGAAACACCAAUACAUAGGACAAACUCCACAUAAAUAUGUGAAUAUAGAUAUGAAAAUGAAUUUCAUGCACAUCUCAUCCAAAUUGAGACUAGGUGGAGUUUCCCCUAUAUAUUGAGUCAAAGAAAGAAAGCAUGCAAAAUAAAAUACAUGAAGUAAACAUGCAUGCUCAAGACUUUCAAAACCCGAAACCAAAAGACAAAAAAAAUGCCAAGUGAAAAGGAUACCAAAUGGAGAAAUAAUCACUUGGAAGAUAUCAUUAAAGAUACAUCAAGGAAUGAGAUAUCCAUUGAUACGCACUAAACUAAAGAUGUCAAACUCCCAAAGAGAGGAUGGUUCCAAACAUACCAAGCUCUCAACAAAGUUUCAUGAUGGCACAAAGUACCAAAAAGGAAUGGCUUGCCUUCCACCAAAACACACUUGAUAAGGAUCACAAGAAGAGUGAAGAAAAUAGAAUAGCUCCCCCCACGAGUUGUGCAUUAUAUAGGAUUUGUAUUUGAAUACAAAAUGCACAAGGUGGGAUCACUGCUUUCACUAUAUCUAGAAAACACUAGACAAGAACAAGAAAUAAACAAGAUCCACAAGUGGUAUGGAAGACAAGGGAGUUAACACAAACCUUGGCAAGAGAAAAAGGCAAAUAAACAAAAGCCAAUGUAAAGAUGAUCAAUUAAAUUCUACCACACAUAAGUGACUACCAAUUGUCAAAAGACAAGAAGUAGAUGGAAAGAAUUCCCGGUGGUAGAUAGCAAGGAUAUCCUACAUCAUCUUCACACCACACACAAGCAAAUUGCAACUUGUAGAGCUAACAUGCCACCUAGGAACAAGAUAAUUUACAAUAUCAAUUCUAGGUGACAAUAUCUCAAAUGUACACAUUUUCUAGGCUUGUAAUAUGCACUUAGUAUAUUACUCCCCCAUAAUGUGAUACCAAUAAGAACUAAACAAGAGGCAAUAAGAGGAUCCAACACAAGAUAAUCAAUGGAAUUUUUAGAAUUUGAAUUUCUCAUGAGAGAUAUACCACCUAGCGACUAGAUAAUCUUGUAAUAUCAAUACUAGAUGGUAUUCCUCAUGUACACACAUUUAUAGGAUUGUGAGGUGCACAAAGCACAUCACUCCCCCAAAAUGGGAUGUUCCAUUGAUCUCUCACACGAGCCAACUAGGAUACAAACAGGAAGCAAAAAGGCUCAACGCACGACGCACACGUACAUGAUGUGCAAACCAACACACACAUACUUGAUUGCUCAAGAUAAGCAAGUUGGAAGCGCAACAUAUACAAACACAUGCAAGGAACAAAAACAAAACAUGCAAGGGGGCAAGUAACUUUCAAGGUAAACAAUUUAAGUACAAGUUACCGCAAGGAGGCACAUUGGAUAUAAGAUAGAAACUUGAUAAUCCAAUUGACUUGGCUUGAGACAAAGAGAAUUAUGAAGUCCCCUUAAUUCUUCAUAAUGUAGCCAAGUCUCCAAUGCCCUCCAACAACACCUAUUGAUCAAGUUUGAGCUUGUUGGUCCCCAACCAAGUUGGGUCCUAAGAGGUUAGUCACAAUAGGUUUGGCUACCCAAAUGGUUCUUUGCUUGACACCACUUUGAGUACCAACAAACUUGGCAAACGCAUUGCCAACCUUAUCCUUACCAAGAGAAUAGAUAUCAUAAAUAAUAAUUGGGUUGGAUAAGUUACCACUAGUGCAUGAAGAAGCAAUGUGACCUUUCUCACGACAUAAGUAGCAAUGUCUACUCUUCACUUUCUUCUCACUUGAUUUCUCAAUUUGAGAAGCAUUAACUUGAGUCUUCUUGGGAAGAGGCCUUUCUUUAACUUGAUGUUGAGCAUGAGAUUGAACUUGUGCCCUCUUCCCUUGUUGCUUGACACUAAUGGCCUUCUUCUUCAAUGGGAAAGAUCUAACAUGAUGCCCUUCUACUUUGCACUUGAAGCAAACAAUCUUGGCCGAAUUCUUGACUUGUUCUUGGCCCUUCUUUUUGUUCAUGUUGGACUUCUUCUUCUUAUUGGAGUUGAAUCCAAGUCCACCUUUGUCAUUGGGGGAUUUUUGCACACUCAAGAUAUUGUUGAGUGUGGAUUUCCCUUCAUGACACUUUUCCAAGUCUUUAUUCAAAGAAGUGACUUGGGCCUUGAGCUCUUUGAUUUCCUCUACAUGGUUAGUCUCAACACAAGUACUAGAGGAAGUAUAAGCUUCAUCAUUAGAGCAACAAGGCAAGGAAAGCAAUUCAUCACAAGAUGUACCAACAUUGUGAGUAGAUGAAUUACAAGGACUAGCACAUGGCAAUAUACUAUUUUGACUAGAAGUAGUGCUAGUAUCCACAUGAGGCUCACUAGAUGUUACCUUAGCAAUCAUGGCCUCAUGAGCUAUCUUUAGCACACUAUGGGAUACUAGAAGAUCAUAAUGAGAGCUUGAGAGCUUUUCAGGACUUUCUUCCAAUUUCCCAUAAUUGCAAGAUAGCACCUCAAGUUGAGCCCGUACCUCAACAUUCUCCUUCAAAAUGGAUGCUUCAGAAGUAAUAGAAUUAGUAGCACAAGCAUCAUCAUUAACAACAAGAGGAGAAGGCAACUUGGCAAGCUCUUUUAAAUAAUAAGCUUCAAGUUGAGCAUGAGACUCGGUGAGUUUGAUGAGCUCACCCUUGAUGACCCUUGAGCCAUUUUCGAGGUGCUCAAAAUCCUCAAGGAGUCUAGCAUGAGCAACUUCAAGCUUAGCAUUUUUAGUUUCAAAAACAUUGGCCACCUUAAUAGCUCUAUCAGUAGAUUCCUUCACUCUAGACAAUUCUAGAGCAAAAGUCUCCUCAAGAGAUUCCUUGGUGGUUUGUUCAAGUUCAAGAGCUUGAGAGAGGUCCGCAAUCUCAUUAGCGUAAUCACGCCCAUGACCUUCCAUUUUAUCAAUGGUGGCCUCAUGCUCCUCUAGAUGAGAUUCCAACUCCUCAAUGUAUUUCUUGCCAUCAAUGGCAAUGGACAUUAUUUCCAUGAAGUUGGAACGAGCAAUUUUAUUUUUAUGAAGAGCUUUAAAAAUCAUUUCCCCCUUAGUUUUUAAGGAGGCAACAUUAUCAUUCUCUUCAUCAUUAUCCUCAUCAUCAUUAGCAUCAACAUCAUCAUCAAGAGACAUAUUGGGGUACAAAGUAGGAGAUAACUUUGACGCCUUAGCCAUAAGGCAAAAAGCAAUAGAUGAUGAUGUAGGAUCCCUUGAGGCACCAUUAAACACCACAUCUUGUUCCAUGGAGUGUUCGGUUUCCUCUACAUUGUUAGCACAAUAAUUCGAGGAAAUAGAUGCAUUUUUAUCAUGGCAACAAGACAUAGCAAGCAUAUCAUCAUGCAAUUUAGUCAAGCAAUUUCUACAUGAUAUGCAAGGACUAUCAACACAAGCAUGUGAAACAUUUGGAGUGCUCGAAGUGUUAAAGCCCAAAGAAGGAGCAUUGCAAUAAUAUAGUGAUGAAGGAUCCUCCACAAUAAGCAUAAUAUCACCAUUUCAAUGACCAACACUACUCACCAUAUCAUUACCUUGUGGAAAACCACAUGUAGGUGAAGUAGAAGAAGUUGAGAAGACUAUACGACCGGAGGUGGAGGGGGAAUAAUCAUCCCCACAAAUAUUGGACACACCAUAUUUAUCUUGAAGCUUUGUCCACAACUCAUGAGCAUCCCGGAAUGGCAUGAGUUGAAAAAUAACUACAUUACUCAAAGCAUCAAAAAGCACAUUAGAAGCUUGAGCAUUGAGAUAAGAGUUUUCCUCAUCCUCUAAAGAUAAUCUUUGGAGAUCCUUUGGAGGAGAAAAACCCAUAUCUACAAUUCGCUCUAAAUUUGGGUCCAUGACCCUAAAGAGAUUAAGCAUGCGAAUUACCCAAACAUCAAACUUUGUGCCAUCGAAACUAAGAGUGUCAGAGAAUCCUAAUCGCCUAGUCGACAUCUUUACUUUCUAGGCGGUAAAGCCUAAUAAAGAAAGACGAGGCUCUGAUACCAAUUGAAAGAUCGAGGAUGUCGCCUAGAGGGGGGGUGAAUAGGCGCUUUAAAAUAAUUACGGUUUAGGCUUGAACAAAUGCGGAAUAAACCUAGCAGUUAAUUUGUCAAGCACAAACCUACAACAACUAGGCUCACCUAUGUGCACCAACAACUUAUGCUAAGCAAGAUAAGCAACUAUGUGUUAGCAAGAUAUAUGACAAAGAACAAUAUGGCUUUCACAAAGUAAAGUGCAUAAGUAAAGGGGCUCGGGUAAGAGAUAACCGAGGCACGCAGAGACGAUGAUGUAUCCCGAAGUUCACACCCUUGCGGAUGCUAAUCUCCGUUUGGAGCGGUGUGGAGGCACAAUGCUCCCCAAGAAGCCACUAGGGCCACCGUAAUCUCCUCACGCCCUUGCACAAUGCAAGAUGCCGUGAUUCCACUAAGGGACCCUUGAGGGCGGUCACCGAACCCGUACAAAUGGCGACCCUUGGGGGCGGUCACCGAACCCGUACACUUUGGCAACCCUUGGGGGCGGUCACCGGUACCCGUCAAAUUGCUCGGAGCGAUCUCCACAACCUAAUUGGAGACCCCGAUGCUUGCCCGGAGCUUUACACCACAAUGAUUGAGCUUCGAACACCACCAACCGUCUAGGGUGCCCAAGCACCCAAGAGGAACAAGCUCAAGGGCACCAAGCACCCAAGAGUAAUAAGCUUCUCAACUUGUAACUUCCACGUAUCACCGUGGAGAACUCAAACCGAUGCACCAAAUGCAAUGGCAAGGGCACACGGAGUGCCCAAGUCCUUCUCUCUCAAAUCCCACCGAAGCAACUAAUGCUAGGGAGGAAAAUGAGAGGAAGAACAAGAAGGAGAACACCAAGAACUCCAAGAACUAGAUCCAAGGGGUUCCCCAAACAUAGAGGAGAAAGUGAUUGGUGGAAAUGUGGAUCUAGAUCUCCUCUCUCUUUUCCCUCAAAAACUAGCAAGAAUCCAUGGAGGGAUUGAGAGUUAGCAAGCUCGAAGAAGGUCAACAAUGGGGGAAGAACACGAGCUCUAAGGAUUAGGUUCAUUGGGGAAGAAGACCCCCUUUUAUAGGACCUCCCGAAUCCAACCGUUAUGUGCUCAGGUCGUGCACAAGCGGUACUACCGCUUGGAGGAGCGGUACUACCGCUUAGCACGGUCAAAACAGCCCAAACGAGAGAGAAAACACGAGAUUUUGGUCCGGGGCGGUACUACCGCUUAGGAGCCACGGUAGUACUGCUCUGGAGCGGUACUACCGCUCAGGAGCAGCGGUAGUACCGCUCUGGAGCGGUAGUAAAAAAUUACAUCCGCUCUAGUCGCGGUAGUACCGCUGCAGCCUUUACCAAAACAGCCACAACUUUUGCAAACGGACUCCGAAUUCAACGAAACCAAGUUUGUUGGAAAGCUAACGACAUGGGAUAACACAAUAUUGAUAGAAAUAUCAAGAAUAAGAAAAUGAGAAAAGUCCCAUAAGAAAAUGGUGAGAACCCUUCAUCGGAUAAGAUCGGUAAAACCUCCAACACCGAAAACAUCAUAGAAGACGCAUGCGAACUCCGUUUUCUAUGAACUCAAGCUUGUAAUCAAGAUGACCAUAAGCUAUAAGACUCACAAAGAUAACCAAACAAGAACCAAGAAACAUGAUGCAAGGAUGCAAUGGUUUGAGCUCUCUACUAACGAUACGAUCAAGCUACCAACUUGAGAGCCCCCUUGAUAGUACGGCAAACGAUCCUAUAACUUGGUCUCCCAACUACCACCACAAGACCGGUAAAAUAGAAAACCUAUCAAGGGAAAACCUUUGCCUUGCACAUGGUCCACUCGAGCUAGAUGAAGACGAUCUUGACUCCCUCAAGUUGGACCACCUUUCUUGAUUGCGUUGGCUCGAUGAAGACUAGAUGAUUGCUCCCCCAUAAUUCACUAUGGGUGAGCCACUCUUCGGCACAUCUUCACAAGUCCAUUGACACCAAAUGGAUGGCAAGAUUCAAGAACUUGAUCUAUUCGUGAUGCUCCACUUGAACUUGCACACGGCAAUCUUGAUGACGAUCACCACUUGAUGUCAUCCUUUCCAUGGGUUGUAUGAUAUCUUCCUCUUGACGCAAGCCCAUGGAUACGUACCUAACCCCACAUACAACUCUCACAUAGACCAUGGGUUAGUACAAGAAGUGUAAUGGACAAUGCUUACCAUACCAUGGGAUCACUUGAUCCCUCUCGGUACAUCUUCUACGCUUUGUGAGUUGAUCAACUUGAUUCACUCUUGACUUAGUCUUGAUCAACCUUGAAUCUUUGCAACUCUCUUCAUUUGGAUGAUGUCUUGAAGGUAAACAUGAAUGAUCACACAACCUUCUUCUUCAAGACAUGCUUGCAAUAAGCUCAACACUCGCAUGACCAAUCUUUGGAUAAUUCCUUAAUAGCACCUUGGUCAACUCAAAAACUCCUUGAAACCAACACAUGGACUUCAAGAAAAACCUAUGGACAAAUCCUUCAAAUACAACUCAAGACAACCAUUAGUCCAUAGAGAUUGUCAUCAAUUACCAAAACCAAACAUGGGGGCACCGCAUGUUCUUUCAGCUGCACACGAGUGAGACACAUCAGUACGGCCGAGUCAGAUCAUUGCUUCAUGCUCAUGGAGCUUAAGGAGCAAGAGUCCGCAUACAAAACAAGAGGAGCAAAACCUUUUCACUACGAGGAAGUAUGGCAAACCCAUGCAGACUACAACCAGAUGGUUUUGGAAAAUUGGCAAAGGGGGUCGGGUCAGCAAGGUUUGGCCGGUGUGCUCACCGCACUUCAGAACAUGCAAGAGUCAUUAUCUGCAUGGGGUGCGAGAGAGUUUGGUAGCCUUACUGCCACCAUUAAGAAACUUCGGGCAAAGCUGGACCGCCUGCGAUGUCAGGCUAUUGGUCGAGGCCCAUCCGAUGAGGAGAAGGCCACAGUAAAAAAGUCGAGAGUACCCUGGUUGCGUCAUGGCGACUGCAACACAAAAUUCUUUCAUGCCCAAGCGGCCAUGAGAAGACGCAUAAACAAGAUCGAAAGACUUGUACGUGAUGACGGCUCUCUCUGUCAAACUCAGGAGGAUGACUAGAGUGAAGUCCAACAGUUUUACCAAGCCCUAUACACGUCGCAGGGUUUCAACCCCAUGGAUGGGCUUAUGGACUUAGUUCCAACCGGUGUGUCUGAUCAAAUGAACGCGCACAUUGACAUGGCCUACACUGCACAGGCGGUCAAAACAGCAUUGUUUCAGAUGGCGCCAUCAAAAGCACCGGGAGUGGACGGCUUCACCGCGGGAUUCUUUCAGAGGCAUUGGACAAUCCUUAAGGAUGACAUUGUACCGGCGGUGCUUGGAUUUCUAAAUGGGGGUGAACUACCGGAGGGGAUGAAUGAUACAUCUAUCACACUAAUUCCUAAGGUACAACAUCCUCAAAGCAUCAAGCAAUAUAGACCCAUCUCCCUUUGUCCUGUUUUAUACAAAAUAGCAGCGAAGUGUAUUGUCAACAGGAUAAGAGGUUUUCUGAAUGAUAUCGUGAGUGAGGAGCAAUAUCAAAGGAGGAAUGCGUUUCCGUGACUUGGAAUGUUUCAAUAUCGCGCUUUUGGGCAAACAUGGCUGGAGAAUGAUGACAAACCCGGAGUCCUUGUGCUCUAGGGUUCUAAAAGGAUGCUAUUUCCCAAACUCUGAUUUUAUGAGUGCUUCUGUGCCACGAAACGCCUCCACGACAUGGAAGGGUAUCAUGGCUGGGAGGAAGGCACUAGAAGCCGGCUUGCUAUGUCGAAUUUGUGAUGGUAUUUCUGUGAAAAUUUGGACUGACCGGUGGCUACCUGGAAAGCUAUCUCUGCAGCCCUCAGUUCAGAUUGGGAGCGCCAACCUUCACACAGUUUCAAACCUUAUCGAUACAGACAACUGGAGCUGGAAAGUUGAUCUUAUAAGGAGUAACUUCACACCACCGGAUGCUGAUGCAAUUCUGAACCUACCUCUCCGGCAAGGUGGUGGCGACGAUUUCUGGGCGUGGGCUCAUGAGGGGUCGGGAUCAUAUACUGUAAAAUCUGCAUAUCAUGCUCUAAUGACCCGUAACGAGCAUUUGGCUCUAGGGGAAGGGACGAUUACUGAAACUUCUGAGAAUGACAAAUAGUUAUGGACUCGGCUAUGGAAGCUCAAGGUGCUACCCAAAGUCCACGUCUUUUGGUGGCGGGUUCUUCGCGGCAUCUUGCCAGUCGAAUCAACACUGAAAUAUAGGCAUAUAGCAACUAUGGCCCGAUGCAAAAUCUGCAAGGGUGCAGACGAAGACAUGGUGCACGCUCUCAUUAAGUGUUCCCAUGCCCUAGGAAAUGGCUCAAUGUCAAACUGCCACACUUACAUCCGAUCACUUGGUGCAAGGACAUUUUGUGUGACACACGCAUCAAUGAAGGGGACCGGCCGAAGAUCAUCACUAUCAUGUGGGCUAUAUGGACUUCUCACAAUAACAUAAUACAUGACAGAGAGAGCUUGCAUCCAGGCCAGUCCCUGAAGCGGAUCCAAGAAGCCCUAAUGUUGUUAGAGCUUCCCGAAGAACAUACUAGGAUCAUACCUGCUUAUGGUUGGAGACCGCCCGACCCAGAGUGGCUCAAGAUAAACACAGACGCUAGCGUCUCACUGACUGAAAAUAGAAGCGGAGCGGGGGGCCUUGCUCGAACCUCAUUUGCCUUUGUUGCUGCCUGGAGCAAGUCGCGCCAUCAUGUCAUGGAUCCGCUCAUCGUAGAAGCCCUGGCUUUACGAGACGGAGUUAUUUUUGGCAAGCUUCGAGGUUCUUCGCGAGUGGUGCUCGAAGUAGAUUGUCUGGAGCUGGUACAACUUUGGAACUCGCGACAAUUUUCGCGCUCUGUCAUAGCGCCUAUUCUUCUUGAAAUUGAUGUUCAUCAUGUAUUGAGACAAGCUAACAACUCAGCGCACCUUUGUGCAAAGCAUGCUAGCAUAUUGGGAGUGACUGGUUGUUGGAUGGACUCUCCUCCCGGUUUCCUAGUGACGAGCCUGAUGGCUGAUCGCGCUGGAGCCGUUUAUGUCUGAAUAAAGCUCUAUGCUUCCCGCAAAAAAAAGGAGUGUUAACUAGGCCUUUGGGCGAAUGGUUCGCUCUAGUCAAGGAUUUUUUUUGUUUGCAGUUAUAGUCAAGGAUGUUGUUAUUGCGACAUAAACACACUGAUGGUGUUUUUUGUUGUAGCCAAAGAAGAUCUUUCUUAGGCAAGAGCACUUUGAGCAACUCCAUGGCGUGACCCAUUUUAUCUGCCUGCAUCCGUUUGGGUCGGAGCGGACAACAGUGGAGGCCCAACACGGCGACCCAAAUGCAAAUCGCGUCUGCCUAUCGUCCGUGCGGACCCAUUUUCGGCCCAAAAUUGCGCCUGGAAUGCCUCGGCGCAGACGAGAAGCGGUCGCAUCGCGCGUCUCCUCGGCGUCCACCGCAUCCCCACCUGUAGGCCACCCAACUGCCACUGGUCGUCUUAUUUAUGACAACCACCGACAGCGGGCCCACUUGUUAGCCUCGGGAAGCGUUCUUUUUUAAGCACGCGUGCAGCGGGGGGGCGUCCUCAUCCACUUCUCCCAUCCACAUCUGCCCCCAACUCCCUUGCUUCCUUCCCGGCGAUAGGAAACCCUAGGCCGCCAUGGGCAUCUUCGGCAACAAUGGCAAGGCCAAGGGCAAGUGCACCCCCGGCGCCUUGUCCUCCCGUGCUCCCCCUCCCCCGCCACCGCCGGUGCGUUUCCGUCCGGAACGCCGGCGCCUGCACAUCCGGUGCACCAAGCGCGGUGGCACUAGGAGUACAGGCAGCCCCUCUCCUACCCUGACGUGAUGUUGCCGCACCAUUGGCACUUGGAUCCCUAGCGGAUCCCGGUGCCAGCGGUUCCGCGGAGCCAGCGAGCGCACGAUGAGGGGGUGCGCCGGCGCCGCGCGCAGCUCACGACGGGGUAGCGUCGGCUGCCCAAGUAGGCCGCCGACUCUCCCAACUAGGAGGCUUGGUUCGCCCUCGAACACGAGGAGCAACGACGCUCGGGUGUCCAUGCCGUCCCGCCACCGUUCCCACCGCCACCGCCAAAGGUACAGCCGGAGGACGAGGUACCAGGCCACCCUCGAGGAGGCCCUGCAGCAGGCGCUGGAGGCUAGCCGCUUCGAGGAGGAUGCGCAUUGGGAUGGGCUGGAGCAAGCCCUCGCCCUAUCGGCGGCGGGGGACUCCGUCCACUCCCCGCUGUUCGUGCCGCCACCGCCAUCCUCGCCACCCAUCCAGCCCAAGCCGGAGCCGGAGCCGACGCGGAAGCGCUCCCCGCCUCCACCCACUUGGCCGGAGGAGGCCUACUCGUGGACGGUCCAGUACCGCGAGUGGGUGAGCGCGCCCCCCGUCCACUUCAUCGCGACGCCGGAGCAGGUGGCAGACCACCUCGAGCGCUGGAAGGCGCACUGGUUUCGGCAGGAGCAGGACGACGGGGAGCAGCAGAUGCGCUACGAGGCCAUGCUCCAACGCGAUGCGGAGGCGCUCUGGAUCGAGGAGGAGGAGGAGGAGCGCGCGCGGCUGGCCGCAAUGCCCCCGCCCCAACAGACGCCGGAGGAGGCUGUCCUGGCAGCAUACCAGACGGCGUUCGGGUGGGCAGACCCUGCUCCCGUCUUCAUCGACCUCACCGGCGAUGGCGACGGCGGUGUCGACGGCAAGUGCAAGGGCAAGGCCGACGGCGUCUAGGGCAGCGUGCAGGGCGGCAGAAGGCGGGCGCGGACUUUUUUAAUGUUUUAGUUAAUGUUUAAUUAUGUUUAAGUGGACUUUGGCCGGCGUUUGAUCGGCCACUUAUGUUUAAUUAAAUUUAUUUUAAGUUUAUUUNNNNNNNNNNNNNNNNNNNNNNNNNNNNNNNNNNNNNNNNNNNNNNNNNNNNNNNNNNNNNNNNNNNNNNNNNNNNNNNNNNNNNNNNNNNNNNNNNNNNNNNNNNNNNNNNNNNNNNNNNNNNNNNNNNNNNNNNNNNNNNNNNNNNNNNNNNNNNNNNNNNNNNNNNNNNNNNNNNNNNNNNNNNNNNNNNNNNNNNNNNNNNNNNNNNNNNNNNNNNNNNNNNNNNNNNNNNNNNNNNNNNNNNNNNNNNNNNNNNNNNNNNNNNNNNNNNNNNNNNNNNNNNNNNNNNNNNNNNNNNNNNNNNNNNNNNNNNNNNNNNNNNNNNNNNNNNNNNNNNNNNNNNNNNNNNNNNNNNNNNNNNNNNNNNNNNNNNNNNNNNNNNNNNNNNNNNNNNNNNNNNNACGUCCGCCUAGCCGACCCGACCCAAACAGAUGAAAAGCGGACAAAAACGAUGUUCGUUUGGGUCGGCACGUUGGAGUUGCUCUUAGAUGAUGUUGUUGUGUAGUACGAUUUCCAGGUUUUGAAAACAAGCAUGUGCAAACAAAAAAGUUUUGAGAUAAACAACCUCAAGUUUGUUUUCUUGAUAAUGGAUUCAGUACAUUGGAAAAUAUGGCACACCUGGAGAUAUUUCUGUCUACAGCCAGAGAGCAGUUUUUUAUUUUUAUUUUAUAUAUUUUCUACAUUUUACCAAAUAUGGCACACCUGGAGAUAAUGGAUUCAGUACUCCCUCCGUCUGAAAAUAUUUGCCAUCAAAAUGGACAAAAAAGGAUGUAUUUAGAACUAAAAUACAUCUAGAUACAUCCCUUUUAUUCAUUUUGAUGACAAGUAUUUUCAGACAGAGGGAGUACUAAUGUACUUCACGCAAUUCAUCAAGUACAAAAUCAAGUGAGAGAGCUGCUAAAUGCAAUAUUACGAGAGCUCAGGAGGCUAGAUGUAUAAUUUGUCAUCCAAGCCCACCUCAUCAUAUGUACCAUACGACAACCAUCUGAUGACCCAAGUGCUACUCCCGCCGUUCCUAAAUGUAAGUCUUUGUAGAGAUUUCACUACAAAUACAUACGAAUGUAUAUGGACAUAUUUUAGAGUGUAGAUUCACUCAUUUUGGUCCGUAUCUAGUCCAUAGUGAAAUCUUUAAAAAGACUUAUAUUUAGGAACGAAAAGAGUAGAUCGCAUGAUCGCAUAUGAAGCCCCGAUCUCAUUUAGUCUUCCCAAUGCAAAGAGAUGCGAAAUUCAAUACAAAUAGCAAAUAUGAAGUUCCACCUGUUCGUUCAUACUAGCAACUAUGGAUGCAUCCUGCCUAAAAUGGGCAAUGGAAAUUACCAUUUCGAUUGAUAGCAUCGUUCAACAAAAUGGGGAGAGAGAGAGUAUAAGUGUCUGUUUUUUUCAUAUAAAAGAGCCUCACACCCACCCAUGUAACCCAAAUCAACAGCAACGAUAACAAGGGAAUGUUCAGGUUCUUUCCCCUCACUGCAAAAAUACAGGUAUCAAAAGUUCACAACAAAAAUGUUAACGGCCAGAGGUUAUCCCAUUGUCUUCACCCCAAAAGUGCUUCUGCUAUGGGUCUCCUACUAGAUUACCUCCCAACUAACGGUACAUCAUCUUGAUCCCAAGCUACUUGACUGACCCAUCCAAAACAUCAAAACUACAAGACCUGCCCUAUGUGUUUCUGUUACAGCCACAAGCAUCAAGUGUCAUCGGAAC
rnacentral:lncRNA from 1 species